rnacentral:lncRNA from 10 species
ACAUUUCUUGCAAGGCAGGUCUACUGGUGACAAUUUUCCUCAGUUUUGAUUUGUCUGAGAAAGUAUUUCUUCUUUUUUGAAGGAUAAUUUUACUCGGUAAAUAAUUCUAGGUUGGAAGUUUUUUCCUCCUUUAAUACUAAAUGUUUUACUCCAUUCAAUUGCAUGGUUUGUGAAGAGAAGACCAAUGACAGUCUUUUUCUUCUUCCUCUACAGGUAAGUGUUUUGUAACCAGAAUAGAGGAGGUCUCAUGGAAAUUUGAAUGGAGAAAAAUGGAGAGAGAACUCAAUCACAUGGAGUGCAGUAGGAGCCAUGUACCAAACUGAAAAGGCUGUAGUCACAUCAGACAAUAGCUGAAGAAUGUGAGAAAGAAAAAUCAAAAGCACACAAAUGAGACUGUGCAGUGAAGAGGCCACAGAGACAACCAUACUGUCUUUUUGUAUCACAAUAAGCAAAGUGAGAAAUUUAAAAUACUUUUGCUGAAAUCAAGGUGUCAGGAGGCUGGUUUCUUCUACAGGCUCCAGGGGAGUAUCCAUUACCUGCUGCCUUCAGAUUUCAGAUGCUUAUAGCAUUCCUUGGCUCCUGUUUGUGUCAUUUUAAUCAUUUUAUCAUUGUUUCUGUUGUCACAUAUUUCUCCACACCUUUUUUCCUCUCUCUGAUUUCCUGCCUCCCUCUUAUAAGAACCCCUGUGAUUACAUCAGGCCCACCAGAUAAUCCAAGAUGAUGUACCCAGCUAAAAAUCAUUAAUUUAAUCACAUCUACAAAGUUUAAUUUUCCAGAUAAAGUAACAUCACAGGUUCUAGGGAUUAGGACAUGGACAUCUUUGGAAAGAAGGGAAGGCAUUACUCAGUCUACCAUGUUUCACAUAUCAGUAGUGAAUUCCUUUUCAUUGUUGAGUAAUAUGUAUUAUUGCAUAGAUUUAUCUCAAUGUAUUUAUCCAUUCACCUGUAGGUGAAUGUUUACAUUCGUUUUUGUUUGAACAUAAAGUUUGCAAUUUUCUUAGGAAGACAUCUAGGAAUGAGAUUCCUACUUUGUAAGAAAAUAUCCUGCUAACCACCAUACUCAAGUCUACAAUACUGAAGAUGUUUCCACUGUAUGUAUUUGUUAUCUAUUGCUGUGUAAUAAAUUUUCUAAAAUACCUUGGUUCAAAACAAAACAUUUAUCAUCUCACAGUUCUCUCAGGUCAGGAAUCUUGUUUUGCUCAGCGUGGUGGUUCUGGCUCAACAUCUCUCAGGAAAUUGUACGCCAGUGUCGCAAUUAUCUCAGAGCACAACUGGGGAAAGAUUUCUUCCAAACUCAUUCACAUGCCUUUUGGAUGACCUCAGGUCCUUGCUGGAUCCCGGCUGAAAACAUCAGUUCUUUGACAUGUGUGCACCUUAAAACACUGUAGCUUGAUUCCCUCACAACAAGUGAAUGAGAAUGUAAGAGAAGGCACCCAAACCAGACCACAGUCUUUCAUAACCUAAUUAGAAAUGACAGCCCAUCACUUUUGUAAUAUUUUGUUUAUUAGAAACAAGUCAUUAAAUCAACCACCCUUAAGGGGAAAGAAUUACAUGACAGUAUAAAUGCUAAGAGGUAGAGAUCUUUAGGAGUCAUGUUGGAGGCUGCUGACCAUACCCAUGUUCCAAAAAAAAAAAAAAAAGGAAAGGAGAAUUUUCACUUCAUUCCUCAAUUAAAUGUUAUCUUAGAAUUAAAACUAAAAAUUUACCUUAUUUCACAAGUUCCCAUAUGUGCUCUAUCUUGGUUUUAGGAAAUGAUGGAAUAUGCUUGGCUUUCAUUCUAGAGUGAGGAGAACAGAAAAAUAUAAAAAUACAACAAUAUAAGUCUCAUGAAGAAAAAAAUAAAACAGAGUGAUAGGAUAGCAUGAUGGGCUGAUGAAAGAGAGGCUAAUUAUUUUGAUUAGGCAAGGUUUAUAUGAGAAAGUACUUUUAAAAUGAGAACUGAAUAACAAGGAAUUAGCCUAUGUUUUCAUAGGGGUAUUGUCAGGAGUAGAAUAUUGCAGCAACGGGAAGAAUAAAGCAAAGAUUUAAGGCAUGAAAAUCCUUGAUAGGCAAAUUAUAGGAGUUUCUCGAGACUGAUAUAAAGUUAAGAGAACCAGAUCUUCUAGAACCUUGUAUAUCAUGGUAAGGAUUUAGACUUAGUAGAAGUGCAAUGGAAAGCUACUGUGUAUUCUGAGUGGUUGAAUACCUAUUUAUAUCUAUCUAUAUCUAUAUAUAUUUUAGAGACCGUCUCACCCUGUCACUCAAGCUGGACUGCAGUGGCACAAUCAUAGCUCACUGCAGCCUCAACUUCUAGGCUUCAGUGAUCCUCCUGCCUCAGCCUCCCAAGUGGCUAAGAAUAUAGUCAUGCCUCACCAUGCCCAGCUAUUUUUAAUUUUUGUUAGCAGUGGGGUCUUGUUAUGUUGCCCGUGCUGGUCUUGCCUCAAGUGAUCCACCCACCUCAGCCUCCCCAGUAGCUAGGAUUACAGGCACAAGCCACCACUCUGGCUGAUACCGAUGUACUUUUUAAAAGACCAUUCUAGGACUGUGUGGAAAUGUAUAGAAUAUGGCCACAAAAGAUCACAAAGCUAUUUCGAUAUUCCACAUAAAAGACGAAGGUAGCUUGAACUAAGCAGUAAAGAUAAAGAGACAGAGGGAUAUAAAAUAUAUUUUGAAGGUAAAGCAGAUAAUCUUUACUAAUAAAUUAGAUCUGUGAAGAUAUGGUGAACGUGUAUUUUGGCCUCUAACACAUUUGAACAUAUUUCUAUAAUUUUGUAAUGUGCCAACUAUGAGUCUCCUCUGAUUAAAAGGAAUCUGAAAAUGCAUUUUCCUACACCUCCUUGGAGGUGAAAAACAGGGUUAUAAACUAGGUUAUGCCUAUCAGGCAUACAGAAGACAGACUGGUACAAACCAGCAAAACCUGAGGCAGCAAGUAUAAAUAUGUCAUCUUAAAAGCCAGGAGAGUGUGUGUCAAGAAGUAGGGAACGUUCAAUUAUAUUGAAUACUUCUGUGGUUUGAAUACAAAGAGAAUGAAGAUGUGAAUAUUCUUUGGCAACAAAAAAGUCACAACAGACAAGUGGACAGGUGUAAUUGGAAGGGUGAUUUGAGUCACAUAUGGCACGGAAGAGACGUUAGGAAGAGGAAAUAGUAAUUAUAAAGAUAUACAUUUUAGAUUAAGUUUUGCUAUUAUAGGAUCAGGGAAAAUCAAUGGUAACCAUGGGAAGUUAAAGGCUUAUAAUAGAUUUUUAAAAAGAUGAGUAAUAUUAAAAUAAUGUUUGUAUAAUGAUCUAGAAAAGAGGAAGAUGCUGAUCAUGCAAAAGAAAGAGGUUGUAUUCGUUAUGUAUUUGUCAGCAACAAUGUAUUGAGUGAUAAUUAUGUGCCAGGCACUGUUCUACAGAUAGAAAAUAUGGAAUUUACUUUCUGUUUUUGGCUGAAAAAAUAAUAAACAAGGAGUAUUAAGUAAAAUAUAUGUUGUAUCAACUGAUUAAAGAGAAAAUAAUGCUGGCAAUUUAAAAUAGAGUGACCAGGUAAGAUCUCACUGAGAAAAUGAGUAAAGGCCUGAAAAAAAUGGAAAUCACAUUAUGUGAACACCUGAGAGAAUAACUUUCCAGGAAGAGGGAGGAGCAAGUAUAGAAGUCCUAAUUCAAGAACGUGCUCGAUUGUUUUUUUUUUAACUUAAUUAUUAUUUUCAAUUGUUAUGGGUGCAUAAUAAGUGUAUAUAUUCAUGGGGUAGAUGUGAUGUUCUGAGAAAGUCAUACCACGUGUAAUAAUUACAUCAGGGAGAAACAUUAAGAAGGGCAAUGUGGGGCCGGGCGCGGUAGCUCACGCCUGUAAUCCCAGCA